GCACACUUGUAUAUCUCCAUGUUGACAGAAGAAAAGCCACCAAACUGCACAAGCACAAGACCACAGGAAGCUAUCGCCAUGAUAUAUUCACUCCAAGCAGACAACGAUUGAAAUCAUCAGACGCCACACUCAGUUAAACUGUUAUGGCCAGCCCAGUCAAGCUGGGUGUUUUCUCGAAGUCACAACAGGUUUGAGUCGUUCUGUGCAUAUCGAGUUAACAGCUCUCUGCUUCUGCUGAGGCAUGUCAUCUCCCAGGCAAGCAAAUCAAUCAUCUUUUUUCUUUUUGAGUGAUCAGGGCAAACCUCCAAUGUCAUCCCUCCAUCUUCCCCCCAAAGCACACGGUUAUAUUCUCUCUUUCACUUCCUACACUCUCAUAUAUUUCUCAUUCUGUCUCCCCAACCCCCCACCUACCUCGCUCUUAUUCUCUCUAUUUUUCCAUUUUUGUCACUCUCCCAAUUUUUCUUGCUUUGCUUCCCUCCGGGUCCUCUGGUCAAACCGUACAGGGAUCUUACUAAUGAAUCAAAUGAGCUGUCGACACAGGAAAACCUCUGGACCAAACUGCUGGAAGAAACUGGAUGGUAAUUUAUAACAAGCUCCAAAAAGGCAGCAUAAAAGUACACAUAUUUGGGUACCACUUUACAAAAAAAUUUAAUAGGCCCAUUCGUUAAUGUAGUUAAUGCAUUAACAUCAACUUACAAUGAGCAACACAUUUGCUGUUUAUAUAUACAUUUACAUAACAUAUAUAUGUAUGUGUGUGUGUGUGUGUGUGUGUAUUGCACUUUAUACAAUGAAUUAGUUUGAUGAAGUAUGUUUGUUCAAUACAGCACAAUUAAGAUUGUUAUAUUUACAAUGAAUAUCUGAAUAAUGCAUGCUUGAAUAAUUCAGAAGAAUGCAUUUUAUUUUUACAGUUUGGCAGUUUUAUUUAUACUGUUGUUACUGCUGAUGCUGUUGUUAAUUGAAUAACUUGUUUAGCAACACCUGAGAAUUUCUACUCACACGAUUUGUUUGUGUGCAAAAAUGUUACAGAGGUUGUUACAAAUGAAAAAAUGGUGCACAAAAACUUGCAGAAUCAUUGUCCAUCCAACCCUUGCACAAUCCACUUUAUUUUUAAUGCAUGUCAAGUUUGGCCAAUUGUAACUUGGCAUUCGAAAUCCAGUUGUUGUCUUUUUUUUGUUUUUUGUUUUUUU
ensembl:lncRNA